rnacentral:rRNA from 1 species
AGUGAACGCUGGCGGUAGGCCUAACACAUGCAAGCCGAACGGCAGCACAGUAAGAGCUUGCUCUUACGGGUGGCGAGUGGCGGACGGGUGAGGAAUACAUCGGAAUCUACUUUUUCGUGGGGGAUAACGUAGGGAAACUUACGCUAAUACCGCAUACGACCUACGGGUGAAAGCAGGGGAUCUUCGGACCUUGCGCGAUUGAAUGAGCCGAUGUCGGAUUAGCUAGUUGGCGGGGUAAAGGCCCACCAAGGCGACGAUCCGUAGCUGGUCUGAGAGGAUGAUCAGCCACACUGGAACUGAGACAGGGUCCAGACUCCUACGGGAGGCAGCAGUGGGGAAUAUUGGACAAUGGGCGCAAGCCUGAUCCAGCCAUACCGCGUGGGUGAAGAAGGCCUUCGGGUUGUAAAGCCCUUUUGUUGGGAAAGAAAAGCAGCAGGUUAAUACCCCGCUGUUCUGACGGUACCCAAAGAAUAAGCACCGGCUAACUUCGUG